rnacentral:pre_miRNA from 1 species
CAGGUACUCCCUCCAUCCCAAAAUUCUUGUUUUAGAUUUGUCUAAAUACGGAUGUAUCAAGUCACAUUUUAGUAUUAGAUACAUCCAUAUCUAGACAAAUUUAAGACAAAAAUUUUGGGACAGAGGAAGUACAUG